GACGUAGGGCGCGAGCGUUGUCCGGAUUUAUUGGGCGUAAAGAGCUCGUAGGCGGCUCGUUGCGUCGGCUGUGAAAACCCGCGGCUCAACCGUGGGCUUGCAGCUGAUACGGGCGGGCUGGAGUUCGGUAGGGAGACUGGAAUUCCUGGUGUAGCGGUGAAAUGCGCAGAUAUCGGGAAGAACACCCGUGGCGAAGGCGGCUCUCUGGGACGGUACUGACGCUGAGACGCGAAAGCGUGGGGAGCGAACAGG
rnacentral:rRNA from 1 species